ACUCCUACGGGAGGCAGCAGUGGGGAAUAUUGCACAAUGGGCGCAAGCCUGAUGCAGCCAUGCCGCGUGUAUGAAGAAGGCCUCGGUUGUAAUGUANNCUUUCAGCAGUGAGGAAGGUGGGUGUGUUAAUAGCAUACUCAUUUGACGUUAGCUGCAGAAGAAGCACCGGCUAACUCCGUGCCAGCAGCCGCGGUAAUACGGAGGGUGCGAGCGUUAAUCGGAAUUACUGGGCGUAAAGCGCAUGCAGGUGGUUUGUUAAAGUCAGAUGUGAAAGCCGGCGGUCAACCUCGGAAUUGCAUUUGAAACUGGCAAACUAGAGUACUGUAGAGGGNGGNGAUAUCAGGUGUAGCGGUGAAAUGCGUAGAG
rnacentral:rRNA from 1 species